ensembl:lincRNA Gm14246 predicted gene 14246
GCAUAGGCACAGAUGUGCACUCACACAUCAAUUUCUAAUGAAGGAAGCAGUCUUCGGCUAAGGAUGGAUGGGGUCUCAUGAGCAAACAACCCACUCCAGUGUUGCGUGUCAUUGAGAGGCAACACAGAAUCUCACAAUGUCCUUAGCAAGAGUAUGUACUAGUCGCUCAAGGCAUUACCUUGCUGACUGCUGCACCAUUUAAUGACUGUUCUCUUUCUGGUCUCCUUUGAUGAGCCCUCUGUUCUGUCUUCAUCUCCAAGAUGACCAUUUGCCUUUAAACCCAUGCUUCAAGGUCUUUGCCCCAAGGGAAUCCAGAGCCAGAUACUGCCCUGUGAGGGAGAAAGAUUUUUAUUGACUCCCUUAGUUUAGACCAAAAAAGAAAUGGAACCAGAGAAAGGUUGGCUAACUUGUGGAAGAUGAAAUGGCUGGAAAGAGACAAACCUUCGCAUCAAACUCAGGCUCAAAGUCUGUGUGGCAAACCCACCACUCCUGGGAGAACCACACAAUCACAGAGCGCUCUAGCUGCAUUGCCCUGGCUCUUGGAAACAGACGACAGGGCUAGGCCUCUUCUAAUCCAAGCAUCUCGACCAACAUCACAGAAGCAGAACGAAUAUUACAUGGUUCUCUGACCGUCCACCAUGUUUUAUUUCCAACUGAUCUCUCUCUGAAUUUCCUACUCC